ensembl:lncRNA
ACCCUAAGUGAAGGGAAUUAUAUUUUGAUUCCAUUAAGGAAUCUUGUGUGUAUUCGAUUGCCAGGUACUUCCGCUAAUUGUUUGCAAUGCCUUUCUUUGUGUUUACUCGGGGUGUGUAUGUGUGUGUGUGUACCACGUUUUCUGCGAGCACACCGCGCCACACAAAUGCACACGCUCACAGACGGGACUGUCGAAGGCUGUGACUCGCCCAGAAACACUACACACGCCGGUGUUAUUACUAUGCAAGUGGAUUCUUCUAAUUAUUGUGUCAAUUCUUGUAUUUUAUUUUUGGGGUUAUUUUUUUUCCCAUUGACAAAAAAAGCAAAAAAAAAAAGUAUCCAAAAAAAAAAAAACUCACUGCUUGUUGGACUAGAGUGAUGUUACUGACUGUCAGACUUCUCAAGCCAACACAUGUAAACUCUAGCCCCCAUCCCCUGACCCCCACCCGUGCCACAACUCCCUUGUGUUUGUAUGAAGGCCAUGAUGUGUUUAAAACCCAGUUUUUCUGCAUCUUGUCAGUCAAAUGUAAGGAACAAGGGGGAUGUUAAUGUCAGUGGUCGGGUCUGAGUCUGUGUAGUGUGUGACAUAGUGAAACGUGUGUGAGAAAGACUCGUGACUCGCCACCACAGUUGAAUUUUUCUUUUUUUUUGUUUGGUAAUCAUACGCCCGACCAUUCACGAAUGAGCGCCACCCACGGAGCGACUUGCUCUCUGCAGGUGCUCUUCGCAAAGGGCCAAAGUGUCCGUCAACAAUUCCUGACUCUUUCUUACUUGCACGCAUUCACUGCUGUUGGACUGUUUUCUUUCUUUUUCUUUUUUUUUUUUUUCUUUUUUUUUUGGCAGCUCGGAUCUGUCGGUCAGAACUGCACGACAGGUUUGCCGUUUUGGCCGAUGGGUCACGGGGCACAGCUGAUCAUAACCUCCAGCUUACAAAUUCCUUUCAUACUUAAUAAAUUUGACCAGAAAAAUCAAAAUCAUUGACCGAUUGAAAGGGUGAAAAAUUCUUGAUGUUUUCUGGCAUAUACACUCACCCUGUUAUUCCCUAUUACUUUUUUUUUUUUUUUUUUUUUUUUUUUUUUAAUAGAUAAUUUUCCGUCUGUAGGGUAAUAAUCAGAAUUGAACAUUCAGCACUGACUUUCAUGCAGUUGUAGGCCAAUAGUAAUUUGACAAGAGGAAUGAAGUUACCCUUUCAAACUGAGAUUCUUACAGCCAUGUUUUGCUUCUAGAGCUCAGAACCAGCAUUGAUUUGAGACAAGAAAAAUAAAAAAUGAAAUUGGGGAUCGAAAGCUGUUGGCUCGGUUAGAGUUGCCUGCAAUCUUAACAGCAAAGACUGACAUGCAGUAUCCAAGGAAGUCUGUAUGGAAUAAAGCAUUGUGCAUCUCAGCGGUCUGGUGUAGCCAACUCACCGCGUCUACUUUCCUUUGUUCCUUUUUCCUCACCAGAGGGUCAAAACACUUAGAUCAAAGCUUCAGUUGCGCUCUUCCACAUUGUCCUGACUUCUCCCGAUGGUUUUAAAAGUGAGACGGAAAAGGAAGCGAGGAGAGUUGGAUAGUUGACUUGGACCGCUGAGAUUUUGGCAUACACAUGUAUAUGUAGAUGCAAUGUAAUAUUAACACCCCCUCUUCAUUGCAAUACAAUGAGGGAUUUUAAACUGGUGGCUGCUGUUCAGAGAAAGAUGGCAGCCCCUCAGUGUCCUGGCUGAUUCAUGUGAGCAGUGACCCUCGAAAUGGACACCAGUGGCCAGAGGGAACCACUGCCCAGCUUUUUUUUUUCUUUUUUUUUUUUUUUUGACAUUUUUAUGUAAAUAUGUUUUUUUUCUAUUUUAUUUUUUAAUAAACAUUUUAAAACUGCCA